rnacentral:rRNA from 1 species
CAGCAGUGGGGAAUAUUGGACAAUGGGCGGAAGCCUGAUCCAGCCAUGCCGCGUGUGUGAAGAAGGCCUUAUGGUUGUAAAGCACUUUAAGCGAGGAGGAGGCUACUCUAGUUAAUACCUAGAGAUAGUGGACGUUACUCGCAGAACAAGCACCGGCUAACUCUGUG